GUGUUUACUUUGGCAGCACAUAUACUAACCUAGAAUAAUACAGAGAAGAAUUAGCAUGGCUCCUCUUUCACAAGGAUGACAUGCAAAGUUAUGAAGUAUUCCAUAUAUUA
ensembl:snRNA U6 U6 spliceosomal RNA